rnacentral:rRNA from 1 species
UACGUAGGGGGCAAGCGUUGUCCGGAAUCAUUGGGCGUAAAGAGCGUGUAGGCGGCCCGAUAAGUCCGCCGUGAAAGUCCAGGGCUCAACCCUGGAAUGCCGGUGGAAACUGUCGGGCUGGAGUCCGGAAGAGGCGGAGUGGAAGUUCCUGGGUGUAGCGGUGAAAUGCGCCAGAGAUACGGGCGAGGAACACCCGUAGCGAAGGCGGCACUCUGGGCCGGUACGUGACGCUGAGGAGCGAAAGCGUGGGGAGCGAACAGG